rnacentral:rRNA from 1 species
GACUGCGUACCUUUUGUAUAAUGGGUCAGCGACUUAUAUUCUGUAGCAAGGUUAACCGAAUAGGGGAGCCGUAGGGAAACCGAGUCUUAACUGGGCGAAUGAGUUGCAGGGUAUAGACCCGAAACCCGGUGAUCUAUCCAUGGGCAGGUUGAAGGUUGGGUAACACUAACUGGAGGACCGAACCGACUAAUGUUGAAAAAUUAGCGGAUGACUUGUGGAUGGGGGUGAAAGGCCAAUCAAACCGGGAGAUAGCUGGUUCUCCCCGAAAGCUAUUUAGGUAGCGCCUCGUGAACUCAUCUUCGGGGGUAGAGCACUGUUUCGACUAGGGGGUCAUCCCGACUUACCAACUCGAUGCAAACUGCGAAUACCGAAGAAUGUUAUCACGGGAGACACACGGCGGGUGCUAACGUCCGUCGUGAAGAGGGAAACAACCCAGACCGCCAGCUAAGGUCCCAAAGUCAUGGUUAAGUGGGAAACGAAGUGGGAAGGCUCAGACAGCCAGGAUGUUGGCUUAGAAGCAGCCAUCAUUUAAAGAAAGCGUAAUAGCUCACUGGUCGAGUCGGCCCGCGCGGAAGAUGUAACGGGGCUAAACCAUGCACCGAAGCUGCGGCAGCGAACGUAUCACUUAAAUUUGUUUAAGUGAGAAACGAUUGACGGAACGAAGAGACGUCAAUGCGUCCAUAAAAGUCGAGGCGAAAGUCCGAUAAGCGAAUUUAAGGAUACGUUCGUUGGGUAGGGGAGCGUUCUGUAAGCCUGCGAAGGUGUGCUGUGAGGCAUGCUGGAGGUAUCAGAAGUGCGAAUGCUGACAUAAGUAACGAUAAUGCGGGUGAAAAACCCGCACGCCGGAAGACCAAGGGUUCCUGUCCAACGUUAAUCGGGGCAGGGUGAGUCGACCCCUAAGGCGAGGCUGAAAAGCGUAGUCGAUGGGAAACGGGUUAAUAUUCCCGUACUGGUGGUAACUGCGAUGGGGGAACGGAGAAGGCUAGGUUGUCCGGGCGACGGUCGUCCCGGUUCAAGCAUGUAGGCAGAGUGAUUAGGCAAAUCCGGUCACUUAAUGCUGAGGUGUGAUGACGAGCCACUAAGGUGGUGAAGCAAUUGAUGCCCUGCUUCCAGGAAAAGCCUCUAAGCUUCAGGUUACCAACAAUCGUACCCCAAACCGACACAGGUGGUCAGGUAGAGAAUACUCAGGCGCUUGAGAGAACUCGGGUGAAGGAACUAGGCAAAAUGGUGCCGUAACUUCGGGAGAAGGCACGCUGGCGGUAAGUGAAGUCCCUUGCGGACGGAGCCGAAACCAGUCGAAGAUACCAGCUGGCUGCAACUGUUUAUUAAAAACACAGCACUGUGCAAACACGAAAGUGGACGUAUACGGUGUGACGCCUGCCCGGUGCUGGAAGGUUAAUUGAUGGGGUUAUCCUUAGGGAGAAGCUCUUGAUCGAAGCCCC